rnacentral:lncRNA from 1 species
GGAUAUUUGAGAUUAUAAGAUCAGUUGUCUAGCUUAUAGGUGAGCUCGUACUGUAACACUUGCAUGAAAUCCAGGAUUAGUAGUGUAGUAUUUGGUUACCUGUUUGAUACUAAUUCAGUGUAGAAUAUACUGUUUGGCUGUCUUUUUUGUGCCUGAAAAAAAUACUAUCAAAAUUCUUGGUCUAAAACAAACAAGGACAAUUCUC